ACCUAAGAGAUUUGGCGGUAUCUGUAACUUGUUAGAGAAACUUGUUUUAAUAAUCGAUAAUCCUCGAAAUAUCUUACCUUUGUUAUUUAGUUUGUAUACCGUCAUAGAUGUGAUUUUUUAAAAGGUGAAAAUUAUUUAGAUAUUUAUUUUUAUGAAAAAAUAUUAGAUCAAGGUGCAGCUUAUAUAAAGGGUAAAAUGAGUUACAAUAAAUUAUUUUAAAUAUAUAUGGAGUAUAAAAUGAAAUUUUUAUAUAAAAGUGGAUUUAAUUGUAAUUAAAUUUUAAUAAGUUAAAAUGAUAAUAGUUCUGAGAUAUGU
rnacentral:rRNA from 1 species